AUGAAGUCCUGGAACUACAGGCUUUUCUGCUUCAGUGCACUUGGGAGUGGUGAAUGGAAAACACUUGAAAUAAAUCUGCUGCAAGCAGCGAGGGCCUUUGUGGUACAUGGAAUGAAAAGAAGUGCUGUGUCUGAACUGCUGUGCACAGGAGAAAAUAAGGAAAUAUUCCAGCACUGGUUCGCCAGGAGGCCAGAUGCUCUUCAGCAUAAGAAUAAAGCCCUCCUAGCUGUUGUAAGGAAAGAAACUCCUGCUAAGAUGGAAGGAGAAACUAAAGUCUCUCUUCUACCCUGCAAGCCCGUGUCUCAGCUGUGGAGAAACUAGUUCAGUGGCUGAAAGAAAGAGUAAGUCUCCUUUUUCACCUGUACAAACCAGUAUCUCAGCUAUUAGAAGUAAGCAUUCUUCUGCUUGAGAGACAGGAUGUAGUGAGUAUGCACCAAGUGUCAUCUUGUGGUUUUACCUGUGACCACAGAGGAUGUGAAGAGCUGGGAUGGAAAAUCCAC
rnacentral:lncRNA from 1 species